rnacentral:lncRNA from 1 species
UUUAAAGACAAUAAUAAAAAAUUAGACAAAAUCUCUGGGUUUCCAUUUUCUGCAUCUGGAAAAAUGAUUCUUACUUGCCUCCCAUCAUUACAAGAAUCCAUGGCACACUGUCCAGCACACAAUCAUGCUCAAUGAAUGAGAGGUUCCUUUUCUCCUUGACCAUCUGCAUCCAUUCUGGAUUCACACACAUGAGCUGAGGUCUUCAGACUGUCCAUUCCUCAGUUGUCCCUGCAUCAAGGGCUACCGCUUAUUCAUCCCGGCGUCUCCAUGAAAUCCAGCACAGUGCUGGGGAAACAACUGGGGCAGACAUGCAGUCAGAGGAAGCAAGCCUUAUCCAUCCCUGGAGGCUGACAGCACUUACAUGUUCACUCAUCUACUGCCUCUUGAGGGUGUUGACUUAGGCAUGGCCAGACUGUCUGGGUUGCGGAGAAGCUGGCCUGGCAGAAGGAAGUGGGGCUUUUGCAAAUAGUUUCCAGCAUGGAUCCUGUUCUCAGCCUGGCAGCUCCCACACACUGUCUCUCAAAGUAACCCGAAGCAGAUAUGCUAAGAGACUCCAGCGUUUUCAAAUUGUUCUCUUGGCUCACAGGAUGAGCUGGAAGCCCUUGAACAUAUCACCAGGGUUGAGAUUGGCAGACAUCCCCUCAGAAGAUGCUGAGUUCUCUGUUUCACUUGGCCGGGUCACUAGGGGUACUGGCUGAAGUGGAAGCUGCUAGGCAAAAACAGUCCAAUGGCCCUGGGUUUUGGCAAAGUCUCUAGAAGGAUUUCUUAAAUGUUCUGGUUUUAGCAGAGGCCAAAUUAUCUUUCUGAAGUAUGUGCUCCCUUAAUAUCAAAACUUUCACAUUUCAUGGGAAAUUCAAACCAUAUGUUUCCGUGCUAUUUACCUUUAAUGUACUCAAAUGCCAUCUUGUAAGAGAAGUUUGAUUUCAGGAAAAAAAUUGAGUCAUCAAUAAGCCCCCUUUCCUUGAGUCACGAAUCAGUAUUUUUCUUUUUUCUUUUUUUUUUUUUUUUUUGCAAAUUCCCCCAAAUCUCCCAUGCAAAGAACUCAGGUUGGAUCCUAAGUCCUUGGACCAGACAUUUCCAGAAGGAACAUUUUAAAUUCAAUUAUGUUCUAAACUCUUCAUGCUUUCUUUCAUCCAUAUUUACAACCAUAAAUUGUAGCCACACAGUUACUAGAAGCAAAGAAGCCAAAUAGAUGUUGAAAUGAUGACGCUGGCGCUGGAGCGAUGUGAUUGUAGUCAAUGUUUUGUUUUGUUUAUUCUUGACUGAUAAAGAUCAUUUCACAGUUUAUUUUUAGUCUUGUUCAUAGAAAUGGCAUUGUUCCUUGAGUACAA